rnacentral:misc_RNA from 1 species
AAGUCGUAACAAGGUUUCCGUAGGUGAACCUGCGGAAGGAUCAUUACCGUAUUCUUGCCCACAAAGCAAAGUUUAUGGAAAAACAAAUCAAAAAUGAAACGACUGUCAGAGUACCGCUUGAGGCACGCGGGGGACGGCCCGCCCGAGGACCCCUAAACUCUGUUUUUAGUGGAACUUCUGAGUAAAACAAACAAAUAAAUCAAAACUUUCAACAACGGAUCUCUUGGUUCUG